GUAAAGUGUAGAUGAACUUGUAUUGUGCAUAAAGCGAUUUACGCAUUAGAAUCUCAUCAACACAAAAGGAUCGAGGAUAUAUUCCUUCUACAUGCACGGUAAGUUAUAAGUGUAGUUUCAACUAGUGUACUAGGAUAUCAUUCAAAUAUUGAAGUUCAGAUCAAUUUAACUCUUUCUCGGCGUUCUAUCACGGCAGUUCUCGUUCAUAUAUCUUCGGUUUGGUGUAUAUUAUACAGACAAAAAUACUAC